UUAAAAAAAAAAAAAAAAACUUGUGAACAUAGGAUUUGCUCAUAUAAUCAUUUGACAACAAAUUGAUAUAAUUAUCUUGGUGAGGCACAAUCCUAACCGUUGAGAAUCAAUUGUGAUCUCAAAUACUCCAAGGAAUAACUACCUUACCAACUUCCAAAUUCCCAAACAUAAGCAUUACAUCACAAUAAUUGCCACAAAAACACAAAAUUCGUAUGAAAGAUUACUGAUUUCUUCAACAAAUUCCUCCAAUUUCUGGUGAACUCUCCAUCCCCAUUUCUCCAGCUAUACAAAACAAGAUACAGUUUAUAUCCGAAAAAAGAAGAGGAAGCUGUCUUUGUUACUAUACUGUCUCAUAUUGCUCAUGUUUUAUGAACCCAAAUUUACACUCGUGCAUAAAUGAUGUUGGGCCUCUUAAAUUCAUCAUGUGAAGGGUUAUGUGAGCAAUGAUCUGAAGAAACAAGAAAGUCACAAACAGCUGUCGUGUAGGGAUGUGAGUUAUGGACGGAUGGGCUAAUAUGUGCUUUUGAAUACGUUGGAGAUAAUAGAAAGCCUCAUUAUUCAGGGACCGGCUUGAAAGUUGAGUCUGCGCACACUAGUGUUGUAGACAAGUCAUAGAAUGGAGAUUUGGAAGCUUAUGAUGUUGACACUCUCGACGAAAGCAAGCUGAUAAGCGAGCGGAUGAAGCACCUGUUAUAUUGGCUUACUUACACAAUUCGUUUCUUAUUUUGUAAAUUGUUAUGUUUCUCAUGUAGUAAGUACUAAAUGAUUGAGAAACUUACCUUAAUGAAUUAGUAGGUUCCAGUUAGA